UGUGAGCUUUUCCACUUACGGACCACCCACUUCUGUUUCCUGUAGAACUUUGUUUAUUGGAAUUGCAGGAUUCACUUGGAAGACACAGAAAGCAGAUUCUUCCUCUUCACCCACCACCACGAGACUCUUUCUUGGAGCCAGGCUGGGAGAACCCACUGAUUUCACCAGUGAGCUGAUUUCCUGUGAGCUGGUAGACACCCACCUGGAGCCAGAACCACCACCUCAUUCAUCCCUGUGGACACUGACUGGAUCACCAGUGGACAAAUGGUCCAUCCCACACAGAUGAGAUUCAAUCCUGGGACCUUUGCCAGAACUUUCUUUCAAUGUUCCUAGGCCACAUAAAAGAAGCCGCCACUGCUGGUAGCCACUUGACCGGCAGUGGCUGGAAAAGCCUGUGUAUGGGGAAAGCCUGUCCAAACACAGGACCACACAGUGGAGAGAGGAAAGAGAUAUAGAUAAGUCCUGGCACCCUUGAGCAUCCUCAUCCAAUCACACCUGACACCGGCCCACCCCUGGGCUUCUCAGUAAUAUGAGAUAACAUUACUUUGCUCGAACCAGUUUGAGGUGGGGUUGAAUAUAAUCCUCUAACAGUGAAACUGUCCCUGACCUCGCUUUGCUCCUAGAAUAUCUGUUGGACAACUGCCCAUUCUUGCCCAGGCAGUUUGAUGUCCACAGCAUCCUUCCUGCUGUCCCAGAUCCCCUCUAAAACCAGUGUCCUAUGCUGCACCCCAGUAACUUAGGUCCUACAGGCCCCACAUGCUUCCUGCGGUCCACUCUCUUCAAGACAGGAGGCCCCUAUUGUGAAUGGGGGAAUCACCCAGAGUUAUAAUGCAACGUGAAGCCACCUGGACCUACGCCUGUUGUGACAUUUUUAGCAUCUUCUCUGCCCUUUAAUUCUCCAGGGGCUAUGGUCACAGGAAGCUGAGGCCUCCCUCUGUCCAGGCUUCUCUGGCAAUCAACAAUGCCACCACUUCUAGCUCUUACUUCCAUAUAAUUUGCCUUUGAUGACUUAAAGAAAAAAUGAAAACGAUGCACUCAAUAGCAGAGACCAAUCUCCUUUCAACAUGUUUCUUUUCAGUGCCUAAUGCGCAUGCUUGCCUGUAAGCUACACCUAUCAUUACAGCGCAAACGCAUCAGAGUCUGAGCUGAUGGGGCAUUUAAACUGGUGAGAAAAGCGAUCUAUUGUUGACAUGCUGCCAGCUCCUUGGUUU
rnacentral:lncRNA from 13 species